rnacentral:rRNA from 1 species
UACUACGGGAGGCAGCUGUGGGGAAUCUUGGACAAUGGGGGCAACCCUGAUCCACCCAUGCCGCGUGAGUGAUGAAGGCCUUAGGGUCGUAAAGCUCUUUCCCCUGUGAAGAUAAUGACGGUAGCAGGUAAAGAAACCCCGGCUAACUCCGUGCCAACCGCCGCGGUAAUACGGAGGGGGUUAGCGUUGUUCGAAAUUACUGGGCGUAAAGCGCACGUAGGUGGAUCAAAAAAUUGGGGGUAAAAACCCGGGGUUUCAACCCCGGAACUGCCUCAAAAAUUUAUGGUCUAUAAUUUCAAAAGAGGGGGUGUGGGGAAUCCCGAGUGUUAGAAGGUGAAAUUCCUUAAAAUUUUCCGGAAAAAACACCCC